rnacentral:rRNA from 1 species
GAUGAACGCUGGCGGCGUGCCUAACACAUGCAAGUCGAGCGAUUCUCUUCGGAGAAGAGCGGCGGACGGGUGAGUAACGCGUGGGUAACCUGCCCUAUACACAUGGAUAACAUACCGAAAGGUAUGCUAAUACAAGAUAACAUAAGAAAUUCGCAUGGAUUUCUUAUCAAAGCUCCGGCGGUAUAGGAUGGACCCGCGUCUGAUUAGCUAGUUGGUAAGGUAACGGCUUACCAAGGCGACGAUCAGUAGCCGACCUGAGAGGGUGAUCGGCCACAUUGGAACUGAGACACGGUCCAAACUCCUACGGGAGGCAGCAGUGGGGAAUAUUGCACAAUGGGCGAAAGCCUGAUGCAGCAACGCCGCGUGAGUGAUGAAGGCCUUCGGGUCGUAAAACUCUGUCCUCAAGGAAGAUAAUGACGGUACUUGAGGAGGAAGCCCCGGCUAACUACGUGCCAGCCGCCGCGGUAA